rnacentral:misc_RNA from 1 species
GGCUAAUGAUAGGGCAUCAAAGUAGGAACCACGAAUACAAUCAUAACGCUUUUGAAGUCUUCCUUUUCUAUGUGCAUGUGUAUAUGAUAAUCUUUUAAAAUUAAUCCAUAUAUUGGAAGUAAUCUUUUUGUGAUAUUUUUUGUAUUCAGACAAAGUUGCAAAAGGAUUUGAUAGAUUAUAAAACAUAAAAAGAUACCAACCGAGUCAACAGGUUCAAAACCAAUUCAGAUUCCAUGAAUAUUAAGGCUGAUGCAAAGAUAAGAUACUUAACUAUGUUCCAUUUCCACCCCAUUCCUCCUCUCGCUUUUCCCUGCUUCUCUCACCUAGUAAGUUGGAACUAAGUUUUUUCUGGCAUAAGAAAGAAAAUGUUACGUUUAACUAUUGAAGUGUAAACCUCCAGCAGGGCCAAUAACAGUUACAUCUAAGUGGGUGACUUCAGCUAUUAGACCACUCCGUCAAUUGCAACCAAAUGAAUGAAAUCUACGCUACUUGUCCACGAGUUGCUCAUAUCAGUCUGUCUUUUUAUCUGGUUCAUCAAGUGCAACCAGUCUUUCAACUAGAGGAGGAUGUGAAUAGUGAUAUGCUGAGUACCAAGGAUCUGUAUUCAUGGCUGACAAAUUUUCUUCCUGUAGUUUCACAAGACCAGCACGAAGUGCAGAGGCAUAACCUAGCUUCUUAGCAAAAGCAUCAGCAAGAUUUAGACCAAAGCUUACAAGGUGUUGAAGAGGUAUUACAGUAUGCUGCAAACAACAAGAUCAACAUCAGAUAAACCUUUUAUUCAACCAGGAUUAUAUAGCCAAUAACGUUAACUGUAUGAAAUCUUACAAACAUCACUCCCGAACCCCAUACAUUUCAUUUCUUCAUACAGCUAUUAUGAUAAAGAAGUACCUGAAAUAUGAUCAGUCCAAUAAGAACUGGUUGUGUAUCAAAUCCAAAACUUCGAAACAGAUCACUUGAGUUUCUCACAAGAGUAUAUCCUCCAAAUUGCAAAAAUGUGAGAAUCUGCGUUGAAGCACAACAAUAUAGAAAAAUAAAAACAAUAAACAUCAUAUAUCAUUAAAUCCUUUACAGUUCAUUUCCGCAUAAGCUUUUUAUCAAACAUCAGAGUAAGAAGAUUACAAUGAUAAAGGACAUGCAGGAGUGGGCAAAGACUCAUAAGAAACAAGAAACAGUGGCUUAAGCAAAUUGAGAUUCAACAAUCUAUUUUACUGCUGCUUUCUAACUGGAGAAAAAAUGGACAUAUGUAAUUAUUAUCAAGAUACGAAUUAAUACCCAAGAUUCAACCACCAGGAAAAAAUAUCAAAAAUUAAAAUGCUUGGAUAACACAUUUUUUAGUGCAACUGAAAUCAAAACCCUUGUGUCGAUAUUCUCUGAAAAUGAUGCCUUAAUUAAACCCUAUCAGGGAGAAAACAACAAUGACCAAUCCAAGCCCCUGCUGCUCAUAAAAUGCCAUCCCAUUAUUACUAAAGCAUUUAUCAGUUCCUCUGCUGUACCUCACUCUAAUUUACAUCAAGUCUUCCCACCUAUUCUUGAUUUCUUAUUAUAAUAUAAUCUCAGGAUUCUAAAUAAUGUAGUCACAAACAUGGCACCAGGCCGGCAGAAUGACAUGCCUCAAAGUUUUCCUUGGGCAAGGCAAUUAAAAGAAAUACUCUGUCAUUGUGCUCAGGAAAAAGAUCUUGAGUUUUGAACCUCAAAUCCAAAUUAAUUGAAGAAACAAAGAUGAGAAAAACAAUGCCAAGGUUUUCUUUGAGCCUCUUAUCAGCUGUAGCUCUCAGAGACUCGGACAUUGCUUCAUGUGCAUUUCCAAUGAUAUAUAUUAGCACAAAAUUAUCAAUAUAAUGGGCCAAUGAGAAAACAUGCAAAUGAAUUAAAGACAAGAAUUAUAUAAAAAAAUUGCAAGGAAACAAUAAUAACAUACCUGCACAGCAAUAAAUGAGUACAUAGUAUGAUUAAGUUUCCAAUGCCCCACUUCAUGAGCAAUUACAGCUACGAUUUCCUCAUCAUCUUUGCACUGCUGAAUCAAUGUAUCAUAAAGGACAAUUCGCUUGUUCUUAAAAAAAACCAUACAUAUAUGCAUUGCUAUGGCUUGACCUUGUAGAUCCAUCUACAACAAACAAUUUCUUUAAAGGAAACUUAAGGGAGGAAGCAAGUGCCUCGAUUUUCCCCCUGAGCAGACCUUCAGGAAGAGGGGUGAACUUAUUAAAGAGUGGGACAAUCAAAACUGGAUAGAGCGUCAUCAUCACAAGAGAGAACAAACAUAAAUGCCCAUAGAUAGAUGGCUAAGUAAGGACCUCCUUUCUGUACUAUUAAAACAAUUGCUGAAACAAUAGGUGGGCCAAGUACAAUAGCCACGCAAAUUCCCUUGAACAGGUCCCUCGAGAAUAACCAUAUUGUUUGUUUAUUGAAACCAUGACGGGCCUCGAUCACAAAGGUUGAAUAGAGAGAAAAUGGCAAAUCAGUGAUCUGCAUGAACACAGUCAAACAAAUCAAAUCCAAUUAAGGAACAUCUAAUGAAUUGAAUAUAUUUGUGAAAUGGCAUAAUAGGAAAGUAUUCUAAUAUUUUCAAUUAAAACAAUAAAAAUAUAGACAUAAGUUGAUAUUAAAUAAAUAAAGCAAGCCAACUAUCACAUUCAAAAUGUUCAGCCUCAUGUUCAAGAUGAAUAACAACAUCAUCCAAGUGUCUACAUUACUGAACUAUGAGUUUGCAAGCCAAAAAUGGCAAUGUGCACAUGUUUAACCCAAAUAACUCAAUCAGAAAAUUAAUUUGAAGGCUCCAAAAUAACCUAAUCCCAACUUUUUUUCCUCUUUGAUAAUAAUAACAAAAAUAACCUGCAAAUACUGUGCAGGAUAGCAAAAAAUAAUACAAUUCCAACUGCUUAAAUGCGGGAGGAAAACAAAAAAAAAAGAAGGGGAAGGAGAAGAAAGAAAGAUAGAUGAAAACCUUGUCUGUGUUAAUGUUGUAUAAAACACAGGCAGUAUUAAUAUAGCAGUUUUGAUUGUUUCAGCAGUAUGUAGUCAUCAGCUUAGAACACAAAUUAUAUCUGCAAGUGCAUUACUAAAGUGAAAUUUUGUUAAUAAACCAAAAACACCCACAUCUCGCUUUGUGUGUAUCCAUGUAUUCAACCACAUUUAAUCAGAAACCAUAUGCAUACCUAUGACCACAUCAUCAGACCAGCCAAAAAAUCUAGGGUGUACAGUAUUUCAUUCUCUGCAUUAAGCCCAGACAAAAGCAGAAAGUUCCCUGAUUUCUUCCAAAGCCAAGGCAAUAUCCCAAAAUAUAAAAUGGCAGAGUCCAGCAAUAUGGUCACAAAUUCGUGAACAAAAUUAAAGUGGCUUUUAUCAAGACUAUAAGCUCUAGAUUUUUCAAACUUCUCUUGGCUGAUUACUCCUUCUAAUGUUUUUGGAAGAGUUGGCAGUUUCAGUGCAGAAUGUUGCCGCAAAUCCAAAUACGUUUCAAAAACAUACAUCAGCACCAUAAAACCAAGUACAGCUUCCAUGUAAGGAAACGCCAUGGCAGAAUCGAAGGUUGCAGACUCGAGUGAAAUGAUAAAA